rnacentral:sRNA from 1 species
AAAAAGAAGAAAGAAAAAA